UAAUUUAUCAUCCACGACACCAUUUGCUUGCCACCAAUGGCAAUAUAAAAUGAUACUUACCAAAAAUAGUUAAUUUAACCGGAAUUAAUUUUAAUUGAACAGGUAAAAUUAUGGAAAGCUUAAUUAAAAUGGCAGUUUUAAAAACCUGAGCCCAACUAACUACUAAAAAUACAAACAAUUUCACAAUUUUAUUCACAUUUAAAUUGCAUUCUACGCAGUUAAAAAUCAUAGUUUUGCGCUUCUUUUUUUUCGGAAUUUACUUUUUAUUAAGCAGCACCUAUCUUGUUAUAUCGAACAGAAGCAUAUGUUAAUUUCGAGUUUAAAACUUAUCAUUCGUCGCAUCCAAUUUCAUACCGAGUUCUGAUAUACAUGUCAGAAUCAGAUCAAGGAAACACAUUGCAUCGAGAGGGUUGCGAAAAUCACCACAUUCGAGACUAUCAAAGCGUCCCUGCUAGGUGUCCUUAUUUUCUACGUAGGAUUUUUCCUCUCUCUUCUGCUCAUAAUCUGCAUGCGAUCACUCGAGACGCAAAUCAUACAUUUCAACUCCAGAAUAAUCAACCAGGACCAGGACAACGAUUCGAUUAAACCUUGCAUUCGCAAAAACAAACCCAUCGUAAUUAAACCCAACAACAAAACCUCUUCGGAAAGUACUCAUCGCUCAGUCGUCAGACUCAACUCAACCAGGGGCGCCCAUCCUUCUCGCAAAAUCAGUAACAACAGCAUGAUGAACACUCCCCGGCCACAAGGGAAAAGCAUCCAGCUUGGACCAAUGCGGUUGAAAAGAAUCAAUGUCCAAUGUUGAAAGCU